rnacentral:misc_RNA from 1 species
GGGCCUUGCCAAGGUCC